AUGAAAAGGAAGCUAUACAUUCUGUUCUUCACUGUUGAGGGUUUUGAACAACUGGGGGAGGAUUCUGAUGGAGAUGAUCUAGACCCAGAUGUUGACAGUAUGGAGAAAGAGGAAGAAGAUAACAAUGAAGACAUGCCUAGCAAGGAUAAAACUCAGAAAGAAGACAUGGGGGAACCUAUUGAUGAGCUGGACAAGGCUAAUUUUCCUUCCAAGAAUAAUCUGGCUACAAGCUCUAGUCAGCCAAAAUCACAGAGAACUGCUUCUGCAGUGGAUUUUCACCCUCCCAACAUGCUGGACACAAUUCAUGAGGACUUUGUGGAAGAAAUUAGAUGCAAAACUCCUGAGAAGAGGGAAGAGGCAGAAAGUGAAAAAUCCACACCUACAAAAACCUUUUCUUCUGGAAGACCUGAUUCCUUGUCAGCUCAUAUGGAAUAUUUCUCUACACAACUAAGCAAGUUUGAAAUGGCUGAGACUGAUGAAGAAGAGGAAGAAUUAGUGGAUGAAAUGCAAUGUUUACCUGAUGAUUUGGCUUUGGCGAUGGGAUCUGUCAAGAGAUCCUUACUGGAAAUUCUGGAGAGCGUGGAAUCGGUGCAGAAGAAAAAACCAAGUGUCAAAAACUCUCCUGUUUGGGGGGCAGUUCUCACAAACAAACCAAAUACCAGGAAUCAUGGGGACGUUAGGAUCAUGGACAAAGCAGCUGCGUACGUGAAGAAGAAGAAUCUGGAAAUUCCUACUACCUUCAAAGGGGCAAAAAUGGAGAAACGUGAACUGCAUUCUUGCAAGACUAAGCUCUUAUUUGCAUCAGUGGAAUGUUUCUGCGACGAUGCUCAAGCAAGCCUGUUGCAAAGGUGUAUCCUCCUGUUGGACAAGCGACGUGGAGAGCUGAUGCGGAUAGCCUGGAAGUGA
rnacentral:rRNA from 1 species